rnacentral:rRNA from 1 species
UUCCCCUUCGGGGGACAAAGUGACAGGUGGUGCAUGGUUGUCGUCAGCUCGUGUCGUGAGAUGUUGGGUUAAGUCCCGCAACGAGCGCAACCCUUAAGCUUAGUUGCCAUCAUUAAGUUGGGCACUCUAAGUUGACUGCCGGUGACAAACCGGAGGAAGGUGGGGAUGACGUCAAAUCAUCAUGCCCCUUAUGAUUUGGGCUACACACGUGCUACAAUGGACAAUACAAAGGGCAGCGAAACCGUGAGGUCAAGCAAAUCCCAUAAAGUUGUUCUCAGUUCGGAUUGUAGUCUGCAACUCGACUACAUGAAGCUGGAAUCGCUAGUAAUCGUAGAUCAGCAUGCUACGGUGAAUACGUUCCCGGGUCUUGUACACACCGCCCGUCACACCACGAGAGUUUGUAACACCCGAAGCCGGUGGAGCAACCUUUUAGGAGCUAGCCGUCGAAGGUGGGACAAAUGAUUGGGGUGAAGUCGUAACAAGGUAGCCGUAUCGGAAGGUGCGGCUGGAUCACCUCCUUU